UGGUUGUAGCUAAAUAAAUAUAGAGAAGUUGACUGGCCGAUUGUCGUGAGAUCGUACGAUCUCCGUCGACGAAUCCACCUCUCGAGCUUCUCACAUUU